rnacentral:rRNA from 1 species
UACGUAGGCAGCGAGCGUUGUUCGGAGUUACUGGGCGUAAAGGGUGUGUAGGCGGUUGUUUAAGUUUGGUGUGAAAUCUCCCGGCUCAACUGGGAGGGUGCCUCGGAAACUGGCAGGCUUGAGGCAGGGAGAGGGAUGUGGAAUUCCAGGUGUAGUGGCGAAAUGCGUAGAUAUCGGAAGGAACGCCGGUGGCGAAAGCGACGUGCUGGACCCUUUCUGAUGCUGAGGCGCGAAAGCCAGGGGAGCAAACGGG